UACGUAGGGUGCGAGCGUUAAUCGGAAUUACUGGGCGUAAAGCGUGCGCAGGCGGUUUUGUAAGCCAGAUGUGAAAUCCCCGGGCUUAACCUGGGAACUGCAUUUGGGACUGCAAGGCUUGAGUGCGGCAGAGGAGACUGGAAUUCCUGGUGUAGCAGUGAAAUGCGCAGAUAUCAGGAGGAACACCGGUGGCGAAGGCGGGUCUCUGGGCAACAACUGACGCUGAGGAGCGAAAGCGUGGGGAGCGAACAGG
rnacentral:rRNA from 1 species